rnacentral:lncRNA from 1 species
CUCAGUAGUUACAGGCCAAGCAACUAAGUAAGACGUUGGGCAGCCCUCGCUGCUCCUUUUGCGAUGUUUAUGUUCCACGCGUCAUCACCCACGGCCCUUCCCAUUGCCUUUACCUGUAAGCUGGAGCUGACUGCACUGCCAACUUCACAGUGUUCGGGUUUCUAUCUUGUAAGUUGAUUCAUGUCCCUAAGUUUCGUUCGGUUCUGUUAGGAGCUGCAAGCCUUUACUUGUUCCCUGGAUUCUGAUUUGGUUCAGCUACCCACAAUUUAUGAUUCUUAUGAAUGUGAGUGCAAAAGAAUUGAUUGAGGCUGCCAAGCUGUAAGUUGUUUGCUUGUUCCCUGAAUUGUGAAUCUAUGAAGCACAUUCCAUAUGUCUAUCCAUCAUUGAAUCUAUUAAGCACAUUCACAAUAUAUAUAUAUCUAUCCAUUUGUAUUGAAUCUAUUAAGCACUACCAUUCAAUAUAUCUAUCUAUUUUUAUUUGACUCUAGCACUUACUUAACUAAUAAUGUAUGUAUUCUAGAAUUGACUAACCAAAUCGAACUCCGGCACAUAUUACUUAAAGAACUCUGAUAGGCACGCACCGUUAUCUACAACUCCCUUCUUUCCCUGUCCCUAUUGUUCUUCGUCGCCUUUAGUCCGUAACAAAUAGGUAUACAAAAUGAGUUCUUUCACCACAAUUCGACCUCGACCAAAAUAACCCAACCCCAAAAGUGCGACACCCAGCCUGGCUCCUCACUUACUGUCGGGAGUCAAGUAAAAGCAUCAAUCAGGGAGUACAAGCUUCAGGUAAAGUAUGUUGACGAUGAGCUCCAAUAGAGAGAUUACUACACAUAAAUAGAAAUCCGAUCUUUCUGUCUGUAUUAGUGCUUUCUUUUAGCUCUCGUAUCGGCUGGCUUCUUCACGGCUUGGAUCGAAUAAAGAGUGUUGAUGCAAAAGAAAAGGCCAAGGUAGGCUUUCACAGGGCGGUGGAUCAACAAGGGAUAGCUGCCAUCCAGAAGUUCCCAGGUUUAUUAGAUAUGAACUCAGUCUGUUCAGCGGCAUUCUUAAGUGAUAUAGUCUAAGCCGUAUAGCUUCAAUACUCUACUUUCCUUCGCUAAUGGGCACGGCUGUUCCCGGAGUAGAAUCGGGCUGGGACUAGAUCUUGACCUGGCAGCGAGAGAAGUGAUUUAAGAGAAUCAAGCACACAAAUAGAAUCAAAGUAGAAGAACAAGGGCGGGCAAGGCUAUCAAGAAAGAAGUCAUCAACAAACAAA